UAUAGUUAAGUUAAUAUGCCGCAGACAGCAGGUAUCCCGAUUAAAUCGAGGACCAAAUCCUGCCGAGGUAAAAUAUCAGCCAAUUUUGGCAGUAUUUUGUUUCUUGUCUGCGAAAGCAGGCUUUUUAUUUAUGGCA
rfam:Candidatus Staskawiczbacteria bacterium RIFOXYA12_FTLL_37_10 rifixya3_full_scaffold_2226, whole genome shotgun sequence.